rnacentral:misc_RNA from 1 species
GAUGAAGAACGUAGCGAAAUGCGAUACGUAAUGUGAAUUGCAAAUUCAGUGAAUCAUCGAGUCUUUGAACGCACAUUGCGCCCCCUGGUAUUCCGGGGGGCAUGCCUGUCCGAGCGUCAUUGCUGCCCUCAAGCACGGCUUGUGUGUUGGGCCCCGUCCUCCGAUUCCGGGGGACGGGCCCGAAAGGCAGCGGCGGCACCGCGUCCGGUCCUCGAGCGUAUGGGGCUUUGUCACCCGCUCUGUAGGCCCGGCCGGCGCUUGCCGAUCAACCCAAAUUUUUAUCCAGGUUGACCUCGGAUCAGGUAGGGAUACCCGCUGAACUUAAGCAUAUCAAUAGCGGAGGA